CAACAAGUGACGCACGCUGACUGAGUAGCGUCACUUGGCUUCCUGCUCUCGUUAAGUCUCUUCGCCUGAUUAAGGUCACCCACCAGAUGCGAGACGAGCGGUGUUGGUCUAAUAUGAGGUCCGAAAUGGAGGAAUCGGUAAUCUUGGGAGUUGUUCCUUCACCUUCGGAUCUAUACUUCUGCAUCAUAACGAGUAACUGCUUUUACACCACUUCUGGGCAAGUAAACAGCCGUAUUUGAAGUAGUUUUUCUAUACCAUGAAGACAAAUUUUAUAUCUCGGCAACAUACUGAGGAACUGCCCUUGUCCUUGACUGUUCCUGUUGCUAGUUAAUUACUACGGCCCACAGAUAGCUGUUACCUACGCUGUUUGUACACCUUCAUAAGUAUUAUAUCGUCUGAUACUGGACUUCACAGUAGUCACGACCACCUGGGCCUCAUUAAGUCAUCUCCACCGUCCCGCUACACUAAUUAUUCCUGUGCAACUCGCCAUAACAUCGGCAGACUCUGAUCCUCUUGUACAUAUUAGGCAUGAUAAUUUGAAUUUUCUUCAGCAAUUUUUUUUUCCAGUUAAAACAGAUUUAUGUUCAAUUCUUCAAGAUUUUUUCAUUCAAUAAAGCUUCCCUUAUUUUGUUUAACUUCA